rnacentral:tRNA from 1 species
GCCGAAGUGGUGGAAUUGGCAGACACGCUAGGUUCAGGGUCUAGUGGGCGCAAGUCCGUGGGGGUUCGAGUCCCCCCUUCGGCA